UCAAGUGUGCGAGAAGCAGGAAAAGCCUUAUCCUGAAAUGCAGUGUCUUUCCUGGGCUUCCAGGGAUGGCUCAUUAUAUGAUCAAAUGCUGUUUUUUUCCAAGGCGGCCCUACCUGCCUGUCUGAUGCAAAUCAGUGGGCAGCAAUUCAAGAAUCUGUUUUCUUCCCAUCAUCCAGUGUGUGGCCCCAGCCCUUGUUUACUGCAUUCUGUUCAGCCUUGCUGCAAAGAUGAAAUACUCUUUCCACUUGUUUGGGUUUUUUUCUGUGACACUCAUUACUCUUGUCAUGUUUGUUUAUUCCACAUGCAAACUAUUAAUUAAUUUGUCUCUGUGAAGCCCAGUAAGGCAGGGGAGAAACAUUAUCACUUCAUAGAUAAGGAACAGAAGCACAGAAAGAUUCGGUCAGGAAUGUGAAUUAAUUUGGGGUGUUCAACUUAAGAUGCUCAGGAGCUGAUAUAUCUGUGCAUUUAUGAUUUAUUUGCUUGCUUUAGUGCCAGUGUGUCGUUGGGCACCGCCAGGGCAGGACUGCAGUGGGCAGCUGGACUGCCUGGUCACAGCAGAGGCCCAAAGCACUUCCCAGGGUACAAGACCAGAAACAGCAGCCAGAUGGAGGUGAAUGGAGAAAGAUCAUAGAACCCUGGAAUGGUUUAUCUUGGAAGGGGCCUUAAAGAUCAUCUAGUUCCACUCUCUGCCAUGAGUAAGGAGACCUUCCACUGGACCAGGUUGCUUGCAAUCCCAUCCAACCUGGCCUUGAACCCUUCCAGGGAUGGAGCAUCCACAACUUUUCUGGUAAGGAUGGCGGGAUAAAUGCAAUGUCUUCUUGAUCAGGCACACAAGGGGAAUUUUAAAGAAAGGGGCUGAAGGAAAACAGUGAUGUGGCUUUAUGGGGACUUCUGACAACCCUUUUAGUGAAAAAAAGUUUUCCUAAUAUCCAAUCUAAAUGUCCCCUGGUGCAACUUUAAGCCAUUUCCUCUUGUCCUGUCACUCGUUACAUGGGAGGAGAGACCUCUUUUCAGGUAGUUGCAGAGAUCUCCUGCAGCCUGGUCAAAAGAGCAGCAAUUCACCCAUCUCCCCUCACUUGGACUGCAGCAAGGACUUUUAUCAGGCAGGAAAGCACAGGUAGCCACAGGAGCCCAGCUGCAGGGUCCACGUUGAGCUCACCAGAGUCUUUGGCUUCCUUUAGACUAUAAUUUGCCAGCUUCCAGCCCAUAAACAAGAGACCUGAGAAUGACUCUGGAAACUUUCACCUGUCCAAGCUCCAAGAGUAUUUAUAUAAUUUAAUCGAUAAAUUGCAUUGAUGUAUUUGCACUAAGUAACUCCUUGAGAUCUGGAUAAUAGAUAAGGGUGUCCAUGGGGCUGUAUAAACACAUCAUAAAUAAAUGUAGCUUGCAAAUCAAUUGCCAGAUAUGAUGAUUGAUCUCCUUGUAGUAAAAUAAUGUGAUGUCUGCCCAUUAUGGAUUUUUAAAAAAAAUCUGACCUAAGAGGUUUCAGAGUAAUUUAUUUGAGGAAGGUUGCCCUUUAAGCCAGAUCCUACACUUUUUAAAAGGUCAUGGGGUUUAAAUAUCAUGGUUACUUACAGAGCAUGGCUCCCUAAGUGGUCUGACAGCUUCUUCAUCAGAAUAUGUUAAGGUCCUGGUCAAAUAAGCGCCUGGCCAUUGAGGCUGAAGGCUGGAUUCUUUCAGGGAAUUUCACUUUACCAUCCUCUUUGGCUGCUGGUGAUGAAUGCAUGAAGAACUGUAAAGGUUAUCCCAAACACCUGGGUACAUUAACACAUGUGAAGAACAGCACAUUUUCCUUCAUCAAUUCACUGGCUGGGUCAUUUUCUGACAUCAGUGAGAGAACUGGGAACAGUAUAAUGUGUUGUUUUACUGCACUGCAUUCCAUGCUAGCUUUGUGCAGGCAGGAGACAAAUCUUUCUGAUUGAGAUACCUGUAAUCCCAGGUAUAGUGAGCCCCUUUUUCAGGCAGCUGAGCCAGAUUAGACUGUGGCCAUCAGAUCCAUUACUCAAGCUCAGGGCUCCCAAGCUGUGCACAAUUGAGCUGACUUCCAGUGUUAUUCAUCCCCUGAUGCAUUAUUAUAUAGGAAGGAGAAAAUCCUUAUUCUAAUUAAUUAUUCUAAUUGAUUAACCUGUUCAUCAGGUUCUCAAAAAAAGGCCAAAUUUCCUUGUCUCUUUAUCUUCUUCAGCCCCUCUGAGCACAUGCAGUGCAGUAAGUCGGGGCCACAUGGUCCAGAUGUCUCUCUGUAAUCUGCAGUUCCACUGUUCCACAUGGUUUUUUAGAUUUUACUUUUAAUAGGAAAAAGGACUUUAAAAGUAAUCCAUGUGCAAUUGUUUUUCACGCCUAAAAUGUUUUGCCUUUGCCUUUUUUACCCAUGCUCUCUUUUUCAUGCACUUUUAGGCAUGCAUCACUUUAUUUUAUCGCACAGCAUUCACUUUUAAGAAGGGCAGAUAGUACUUGAGUAAUUUGGAUUAGGAUGUUUUUGUUCUAAGAGAAUUUAUGGGACACUGGAAUGUACAUAUUUGCUGCUAAAGUCUUAGUUGAUUCUGCAGAUAAAUUCACAGUGAUGGCCUGAAGUCCGCUUGGGCACAGAUGAGGUAUUUGGCAGGGCACUGUUAUCCAAUGCAUACGUGAACUAACAAAGCCAUCUGAUUACAAAUUCAGAUUACAAAUCCAGCUUACAAAUCCAUGGUUUCCUUCUUGUUAUAAAGAAAUUACAUGGAUUUAUCCCACGGUUUGGACAAAAAUAAAACUGGUUAAAGCCACCGCUGCUCAGCCGCUCCCCUGUUUGUUCCAGGAUGCAAUAUACUUGGGCUUGAUGAGCUCAUUCGUUUUGGUUGACCUUUCUGUAACUGCAGUGAUUUUUCCUCUCAGAUCCAUUUUGCAGGAGGGCAAUCACAGCAGAGAUCAGCUUCGGUGGUUCAGAACCUGGUGGCUGGAAGUUUUAUUGGCAUUUAAUGAAGACUUUUGGUACAAGACAAAUGCCCAGAUCUGUAGGCAGCCCAACUUUCAAAAACUUCUUCACCACUUUUGAGUCAUCAUUAAUGCCAUCCCACUCAGUGGUUAUUCCUAGGCCUACUCUCUCUUCCCAGCACUUUCUUGCACAUAUACAUUUAAUUUCCUUUAACCCUUCUGGUGAUUAACCUUUUCCCCACCUCUUGUCUCAUCUUGCCUGGCAAGCUCCAUCAAGCUCCAGCUCUGUAGUCUUUGUCAGCUGCUUAAACCCUUCUGCAUUUCCACGGCAGUCUUCAAAUACUUGAGAUCUUUGUGCAGCUUUUUGUGAAGUUUUAGCAGCUGUCUCCUCUCCCUGUUGCUGUGGCUGAGGGACUGGAGUCUGCUUUCUUCUUUUAUGCCCUUGCUGAGCAAUUCUUCACUGUUGCACUUCACCCUGACUGAUCAGAAUCUUUCCCACUGCAAACUUUGAUAAAGAAGUAAAAGGGUUAUUCCCUUCCUGCUCACAAGAUGAGUCAGCCAGUAACAAGGGGAAGGUUGGCUUGUGAAAGUGCUUGCAUGAAAAAGACUAGUAGGGUUUUCAUCUCCUAAACAUUUUCCAGUUUACUGCCUUGGCAAGGUGGAUUGCUGUGUGCUCCAACCUCACUUCACACCACAAGGUGUUCCUUGAGCUUCCUGGUGCUGGCCCCAUUCUCACCAGUUCAGGCUGCUUGCCAGGGGACUCUAAUAUGACAAUCAUAAACUGAUACAUAUAGAUCUAUCUAUCUAUCUCUCUAUCUAUCUGUAUAUAUGCAUGUAUUUAUAUAUGUGUCUCUAUGUGUGUUUAUAUUUUUCCUGCAUAUUUGUGUGUGUGUUUAUGGUAAUACAUUUCAAUGUGCUUGUGUGAAGACAUUUUCCUCCUCAGCAGAAUUUAAACCCUGAGUGGCCUGCUGUCUGUCUGAUGGAAGAAUUCUGCCUUUGUUUCUGUUGAAAAUGACAAUGAUUUAGAGCUGGCUCAGUAACCUGUCACGGAGGGAUGUGCUCUGCUGUGGGUGAGCAGCUGCCAAAGCUCUGCUGGAGCCAGAUGUGUAACUGGGGAGGCACAGUCCCCCGCUCUGCAAAGUGCAUAUUGUGAGGGGCCACACUGAGAAGGACCCUCAGCAAGUGACCUCCUGUGGGGAAACACCAGUGAGACGCUGGCUUUGCCUGGUAGCAGGGAUGCCACAGACCUGCCGUGGGAGGCUGACACGUGCCCAGCCUCCAUAUCGUGCAUCUGGAAUGUUGAUUAAGUUUGCAUAAAAGGAAACAAGGACUAAGCAUUAGUGACCAGGAAGACAAGAUUUGUUAUGUGUCCGUAGGCUGAGCCUUGGGGAUCAUCCAAGCAGAAGAGGACACUAGCUGGUGCCAGCCAUGGUCCUCCCAGUGCUGCUGCUGCCACGGCCGUUCAGCCACAAGAAAUAGCAUUUCACUGUCAGUGCCUGAGCAGUUCUUUUCUCUGCAGAGCCCCCAAUAUCACCCCAGGCUCCCCUGGGAGCCUGCUUUGAGCUAUCUCCACGCAGGAGCAAAGACAGAGUGUAAAAGAGCUGCCAGUCUGCUGUGUGUUCCCCAAAGAAUGCCAUCGACAGCUCAGAUCAGCCCUGAUCAACAUCUCAUCACAUCUACCAGCUCUAUGUGUAACAAAUGCCAGGACAGGGAGAACUCUUCCUCCAAAUACAGAUGUGAUGGCCCUUGGUGGUGGGUGGUGUUCUGACCAUGUCCUUGGCAACAGGACAAGCUGAGAAAAUGAGUGUGACAGACAACGUGUGAUGCUGAGAAACCCGUGGGACAUGAAAGCAUUCAUCCUGCCUUCCAGUUGUUGAAUUUAGGUAUGUGCCACUGAACAUUUUUGGGUGGAGAGCUUGCUGGACCUUGGAUCUGACCUGCUGCAGCUUCUCAUGAUCCUUCCACAUAACUGAGUCAAGCAGAGGAACUAAAUUUUCCUGGCUGAGCAAAGCACCAAGAGCUGCCCCUGUAUGAGAUCUGCAUGGUGAGAAAACAGGGACGCUGGAAAAGAUGUGCUCCCUGAAAACAUGUUGGGAGAGAUCCUGGCUGCUCAUCCUGUCUGAGAGAUUGAGUGAUCACUGGAGGCAGCUGCAGCAGGUCACUGUCUAUACACAGCACAUAGGUAGCUGUGUGUAAUAAAUACCCAGAGCCCACUGAAGCUGGCAGAUCAUUUCAUCAGCCUUGGAAUCGUGCCAACUGGUGAAUCCUGCUUCCAUUCAAAGCUACAAGAGAACUCCCUUUUCCUCUCACUAGGCUCACAGUUUUCCCCAGAGCACCCAAUCCUUUUCAUAAUUUUCCUAAGCUCAUUAUCUCUGUUCCCUGCGACAGAGGCUUCCACAGGUGAAGCUGGCACUGCGGAAAACAUAUUGAAGAUGUGUCUGUUGUUGUUUUUUAUCAUAAGCACAUUUUUGUCUUGUUUUUUUUCACAGCUUUCUUCCCUCAGCUUUUAAUUUUGGAAAACGGCACAUAAAAGUACCUGGUCUGCCUCUUCUGUGCCAUUCAUUACCCCACAUCUCUUCAUCAUGUCUCUGCUUAUUUAUCUCUUGUCUUAACCAAGCAGGCCUAAUCUUUUUAAAUCUCUUCUCAUAUGAAAGUUUCUCAGUGCCUCUAAUAAUUUUCAUUACCCUUCACUGAAUUCUUUCAUUUUUUUUCCCCUCUAUCAUUUCCAGAACUGAAAAACAACAUUUAAAAAGAGGUUUUACCAUUGAGUUGCAUAAUGGAGGUGAGAUAUUUUCAGUCAUUUGUGUUAUGACAAAGUAAAAUGGUCUUUGCUGCUUAGCCUCACUAUUGUGCAUUCUUACUAAAGUUCUCUAUCUUUUCUGUCUCUGAUAAAUAUGGUCCAAUUUUAUGGUAUUUCUGACCCUCUGGUAAGUCAGUGUACCCAAGCUUAGAUAUUAAAGGAAGGGAGAAGGAAGCAAAAGGCAGAUAGGACAUCUUUCUUCCCCAGAACUAGAGCAGAGAGCCCCAAAAAUGCUAACCAACCUAUACAGCAUACCCGUUAUUACACAGAUAACCUGCCAGACACUGCAAUCAGAUUUCUAGCAGUUAUAAUUGACAUCAAAUCUUGGUAUUGUCAAUUCUCACAGAUACUCUCUGUUGAGCAGAAUGUCCUCAGCUUAAGUGCGUCACACAUGGCUUUUUUUAAAAGAACAGAUCUAAGUUGAAAAACUCCUUCUAAAGUGUGAGGACCAUGUUCUACUCCCAGUUACAGACAGCUCUGCAUCCCACUCAUUUUAAUGGCCAAGCCCUGAACCCAUUGCCACUCACUUAACAUGGCUACUGGCAUGAGAUGCUGAAGGCCUAAGAGAUGCUGGAGCCUUGGCAUCACCACAACUGCCUUGUUUUGAGGGAACUACUUGUGGUUUGUUCCUCUGAGUUGCUAAUUGCCCUCCAGCUCUCCCUUUGGCUUUGUGUGCUACCACCUCAGCGGGACACAUGGACAGAGACACCGUGCAAAGCCUGGCAUCUUCCACUGAGCAGCACCAGACUGCAGCAAGAACACACUGAGAAGUCGCUCCAUCCGGCAGACAAGUGUGGUGGGAAGAGACAUCACUUUGUCACAGCCUGGCCCUGCAAGGGGAAGAUGUCUGUGAGCUGGCAGGAGCAGCUGAGAGAGAAAACACAUUCCUGUCCCAGUAGCCCUUUUACACAAUUACUCUUGUGUUCGUCUACAUGACUGCUGUCACAGGGGGAAGCCCACACUGCUGCUGCUGGGGCUGCAGAGCACAGGGCAGCAACCAGGGGUUAAUUUGCUCCUGCACAACGUGGCUUGGCCAGCAUUUGUUAAAACAACACCUGGGAGCAAGGGGCAAGAAGGGUAGAGCAACCUUUCUACUGCCACACUGAGCACCUUGGCUGUACCAUCCCAAAAUGCUGCUUGCAGCUGUGUGGGCUGUGAGGGGCUGCAGGAGGCAAGUAAACCUGGGAUGGGGUCCAACAGGCAGCAACAGCACCUGUCUCUGGACACUCCCAGCCUCAGAGAGGAUGGGCAGUGAUGCUGGAGCAUUGCAUCACCAAAUGCUCCCCUGACACUUCUGUAGUCCAGCUUUCCCAGUACCAGGGGGCUCCCCAGACAGGCUCUGUGGAAGCAGUAGGGCUAAUUAGAAGAGUGUAGGAUUUACUGCUGUAUCCUAGAUACAGGACAUUAGCUCUGGGCUAAGGAGAUGGAAGAGAUCUCCUUCAGACUGACACCCAUGAAUUCAUGCAGAUUUAUCUUAAAGGGCUGAAAAACAAUAAUCUAAUCAGUGUUUGCAGCAAGCUCUAAAUCUGUCUGUUUAAUUACAAGCAGGGACAUGACCCCUUUUGCAGUGGAUGCUCCUAAAAUUCUAUGGAGAAUCAAGAAAGCACACAAAGGUUUUUCUUUUUGGGGGGAAGAGCAGCUGAAUGAACAAAAGUCAGAAAAAGUGCUACCAUCCUUCCUGUGGGAAUAGGUUAUAGCUGGGAAUGCUGUUUCUGUGGUAACCUGCAACCUGGCUGAAAGCCUGUCUGUACAACUGCUGUGAGUUCAGGUGGGUAAGUCGAUGUGGAACUGAUCCCAUUGUUCUUUGCUCCUCUGGUGAGGUGCCACUCUAUGCUUCUGGUGGCAAAUGCUCUUUCACCCACAGGCUGGGCAGGUAGCUCUCCCAAGCACAGUCUCUGCUCAGUUCAGACCUCCCCAAACUACCACCAGCCACUUUGCUGACACUGAAAAAGAAAGAUAGGGUCUGCCCCACAGGAAGAGAUUAGAGGCUGCUGAACGAGCUCUUUUUCUGCACACAAGAAAUUGCCUCUGCUCACUGACUGCGAGAAGCUGCAAGUGGAAGAUAAAUAACAGCACGAGCUGCAGGAGAAGGAAUAAUGCCACACUACAUCAAACAGGUCCUUGUUUCACUGUCAGCUUAGAGUCUGUUCCACACGAAAGGACAGCCCUGCCAUUUGGCCUGGGUAUUUUAUUAAUGUGGAUGCACAUUUAUGGUGCCGUGGAUUAGCCGAUUACUCUGGCGUUCAAUACCGUCCUUUUACACUGGAGUUCUAGGCAAAGAAAUUUGUCCUGUUAUUCCCUGUGUGCGGUUAACAGCUCUCUCAGAUGGCUGCUGCUCUCUCCCCAGACAUCUCUGUGCACUGACUGCUCUGGAACCGCUGCUGUAGAGGUGCUUCACCUAUACCAAUACAGCCAAGCAUGUUUUAGGAAGCCACUGUAAAGCAUUGUAAAUUACUAAAUGCAGUAUCAUCUUUGGACUGGCAUUAUAUACUAAAAAUAGUGAGCAGUGACUCUUUCACAACCUGAUACAAAAUGUAUUAUGGCCAAGGGAAAUACUACCCACACCUUUACUGCAUUUUGGUCAGUUCUUAAUGUUCAGGUAGUCUGCAAAGAAGCACAGACAUCUUGCUUUAAGAAAUCUAGGCUAUGUGAUAUUUGUCAUUUUACUACAAAGUGUAAAUAUAAAAGACUGAGUUUAAUAAUAAUAAUAAUAAUUAUUAUUAUUAUUAUUAUUAUUAUUAUUAUUAUUACAGGUUCAAGAAACUGGUGAGCUCCACCCUGACCAAACCAGUACCUCUGUCUGACCAAACGGUAAUAAGACCUUUUCAAAUGAGCUUGAUUUACUGAAAUCCAUUUAUUCAUGAAUGCUGUGGAUGGAUGCUUUUCAAACCGUGGUAUUUUGACUGUGCCAGGGCAUUACUGGCAGCCAAGCCCUGCUUCUUGAUACAGAGCAGCGAUGCUCUUCGGAAUUCCUCCACCCUCAUAGCUCCCUAAAUGAUGCUAUCGACCAUAUGCUGCUAAGAGGAUCUCAGAGGGAUGUUUGUAUUAGGUGGCAGGCUAAUUGUGGCAUUUGAGAGAUUUCAGAUGGCAAAAACUUUUAAUAACAAGAUAAUAAAGAUUAUACA